rnacentral:sRNA from 1 species
UUUCCGUUGAGUCCUGAGUCCGUUGAGAC